GACGAACGCUGGCGGCGUGCCUAAUACAUGCAAGUAGGACGCAGUUGCGAACGGGUGAGUAACGCGUAGGUAACUACCUAUUAGAGGGGGAUAACUAUUGGAAACGAUAGCUAAUACCGCAUACUAGUAGAUGGACCUGCGUUGUAUUAGCUAGUAGGUAGGGUAAUGGCCUACCUAGGCAACGAUACAUAGCCGACCUGAGAGGGGGAUCGGCACCCAGUGUACUGGUACACGGACCAGACUCCGACGGUAGGCAGAAGUAGGUAAUUUGCGGCAAUGGGGGGAACCCUGACCGAGCAACGCCGCGUGAGUGAAGAAGGUUUUCGGAUCGUAAAGCUCUGUUGUUAAGGAAGCGGUACUUAACCAGAAAGGGACGGCUAACUACGUGCCAGCAGCCGCGGUAAUAC
rnacentral:rRNA from 1 species